rnacentral:rRNA from 1 species
GAUGAACGCUAGCGGCAGGCCUAACACAUGCAAGUCGAGGGGUAUAUAAUGCUUGCAUUAUAGAGACCGGCGCACGGGUGAGUAACGCGUAUGGAAUCUGCCUUGUACAGGGGAAUAGCCCAGGGAAACUUGGAUUAAUGCCCCAUAGUAUUAUGAGACGGCAUUGUUUUAUAAUUAAAGAUUUAUCGGUACAAGAUGAUCAUGCGUCCCAUUAGCUUGUUGGUGUGGUAACGGCACACCAAGGCUACGAUGGGUAGGGGCCCUGAGAGGGGGAUCCCCCACACUGGUACUGAGACACGGACCAG